CUGACUGGCUUACGUAGUUGACAUCUCGAAGGGAAGUCUGAAAUGAAUGCUCGUGGAGUCAAUAGAUGUGAAGCUGGAAAAGCACAACAGGUCAGACAGCAUCUGAGGAGCAGGAAAGUCAACAUUUCCGGCUGAAACCCUUCACCAGGACUCAUCAGUGCUCAUCUGAAGUGAUCUUCAUUUCCUCAAUCGUGGCAAUGGGGCAAGGCCUACCCGAGCUCGUUCAGCUGAAAGACAGAAUAUGAUCACAACGUUUGUGAUGGAAGAAGAUUGUGAAAAAUAAAUACAUUCCACUCAUGCGUAUAUGAUUCCCUCCUAAGAAAAUAAAGCAAUGCGUAACAAAGACAUAAUUGUACAGGCUCCAGAAAGCAUGCUGGAAGGUGUGUGCAAGGGGGGGAAGAAAAAAUCUGAGGUG